AUGGCGACUACGACUGAUGGACCAGUUCCUGGAAAGCAAUCACGUGCGGAGCUGCAUGUACCAGAGGAGUGCGGUGGCGACGGCGAGCACGACGGCGAAUACGGAGCAGAGCACGAGAAAGAGGCCUUUCGGUCAUACGGCCGCGGCGGCAGCGACCAGGUCGUGGCCCUGGCUCGCGAGCCGGCAGUCGCUGGAGUCGGAGAACUUAACCAGCGGCGGCGAGUUAAGCGCGUGAUCCCGCACAUCAGCCGCGUCCAACUUGACGAGGAGCAGCGAUGGUGGGAGUGUCGCCGUGCCUGGUCCAACCAAUGA
rnacentral:rRNA from 1 species